GAGCAGUCUGCCGCUGUGAGACUCCGGAGCUAGUACAGCAUCUGCUGUUCUCUGACUUUUUCCACUCAACAUGGCCCAUCCUGGAUGCCCGGGAAUGAAUACAAACUCUGGGAAGGAACAAGGCAAAACAAACUCAAACCAAGAAAAAAUUUAGGAAAUUGCCAAUCAAGAAACUGAAAAUCGGGUGAGGCACCCAAAACAAGAACAGAAAGCCAGAAUUGGAGGAAGCCAAAACCUGUGCCCUGAUUGAAAAAGACCAUUGCUCCAAUUCCCUGAACUCCAUAUUCCAGCCUCAACACCAAAAGUCACAUCAGAAAAUUCAUUGCAAACCAUGAUCAGUAAGAAAAAUGUGAAAAGAACCAAAGAAAUCCAAGAGUCCUUAGUGAUAUUGGGCUUGAUUUAGUGACAAGUAAACUGGCUGCUUCCAGAUUCAUCCACCCCACCCAGGUGACUGGCUGUGGAAUUCUGAUUGAAUUAACCUGAGAAUUGCAGUCACACUCUAUUUGGAGGGAAUUAAUAUUUGUCCCCUGAAGAAAAGGGUUGCAUUUCAUUUUCCAAAACACAGAAACUCAUCUUGGUCGUGUUACCUGUAGAUUUAAGCAUGAAAUGCCAAUUUGUUGUGUUUCUUAUUUCAUAAUGGAUACUCUGUCUAAACUCUAGUUUGUAUUGCAUCAGAAUACAAACUUUGGGAAGGAACAAGGCAAAACAAACUCAGACCCACACAAAAUUUAGGAAAUUGCUGAUCAAGAAACCAAAACUUGGCUGAGGCACCCAAAACAAGGACAGAAAGCCAGAAUUGGAGGAAGCAGAAACGUGUGCCGUGAUUGAAAAAGACCGCUCCUCCCGUGCCCUGAACUAUGGAGUAGUACCAGCAUCAAAAACAAUGCUCACACGAGAAAAUUCAUUACAAACCAUGAUCAAUAAGAAAAAUUUGAAAAAAAAAAAAAAAGAAA